rnacentral:lncRNA from 1 species
UGGUGUAGAUGCGCAAAUGAUGCAUGGAAAUUCUAGGAUUUGUGAAGGUUUUAUUUACUGUGACUUAAUUUAAAAAUAAAAUUUAAUAAUAAUAAGAAGGGGAAAUAUAUAACACAACCCUCCAAUCAAAAAUUAACAUAAAAAUCAUCAAUUAUUUUGUUAUUAAAGUGGAAAACAAAUGAAUGAACAGAGCAAGAGCAACAAAAUUGCGGUGUCGCGGGUUAUUUUGUGUGGGUGAGGGAGAGUAUGGAGAUGAAAGAGAAAAAUAUUAGAUAAGUGAGGAAGGUGGAUUAGGGUUACGCAAGUGUUUCUGAAUUUUUCAAUUGGGGGCUACAGUAGGGAUGACAGAGAAAAGAUUGGAGUGAGAGAGAUCAAAGAAAAAGGGUUGAGAGAGGUGAGUAAGAAUUUGGGGUUUCUUGUUUUUAUUUUUUAGUUUUGAAAAAAAAUUAUUCAAAUACCCUUGACCUUAAAUUUAGAAUCAUAAUAUAUGAGGAUUGUUUCGGUAGGAAUUUUCUGGGACCGAAAGCACUAACCUCAAUGACGCGAUUCUGCUUUUUUCUGAUGCGAGAUCUCCAAUUGUCUUCGCCGUCCGCUCUUCAGACCGUCCGUCAAACUCCAAUCUUUGCCCGGGAGGGGGGUGGUACCUGUAAAGGCACUCCGACGAUCAAGUUAGAUGUCGGUAUUGGGAAGCCCUCAAUCCUCAGCAAGUGGAUGCUUAGAACAAAGAGAGAGGAAACUCAAUUAGGUGUAUAUGAGUGUGAGAGAAUUUCAGCGUACCUUGUUUGGAGCCUUUAGUUCUUUAUUUAUAGGCUUUGGAUUGAUAUGAGAUUAACAGAACAAAAUAAAAUAUAAACAGAAUAAAAUAUAAACAAACUUUACCUGAUAUAUCUCCACUGAGAU